rnacentral:tRNA from 1 species
GGCCUUGUAGUUGAUAUACAACAUUAAGUUGCAGCCUUAAAAGAGUGUGCCCACCAAGGCUU